AGACCACUCACAUCUGAAACUUCACUAUGUGGAAUCCCAUAAUGGUAGGGGUUGGAAGGGACCUCUGAAGAUCAUCUAGUUCAACCCCCCUGCUAAAGCAGGAUCACCUAAAGCAGGUUGCACAGGAUCACGUCCAGAUGGCCUGUAAACAACUUUCCAGAUGGGCUGGCAUCCCACUGUUGAUGGAGAGCUCUGGGUGAACAAGCUUUUGUGUUACCCCAGGAGAAGAGUUUCCUGGAGAAAUUGAAGGCAACGUUUCUCUGCACUGUUGAAGCUGUUGUAGGAAGGGUUGAAUGCCUUAGGAGAGCUGCCAGCCAUCCACCCAGGACCUGGAUUCUGGAAUGAAACUCAGUGUCUGUCUGUGCCAUCAUACUCCUGGCUACUGAAGAAAGAAAUAAAAGAUAAACAACCACAUGAGUUUUGAUGUAGCUCUGACCCACUCACUCACUCUGUGUGCAACAGGCAGGACUGUGCAGCGAAGCCUACAAGGUCAGGUUUUCUGUUCACACAGAAGAAGAAAUAAUGUGAAAAUAUGUGGUAUUCAGCUAGAAGCACAAUGCUAAUGCACAGUUCAGGAAGCUAUUAAGAGACAUGAAAUUUAGAACAUCCUGAUUUUUCAAUUCUUGAGGUAUUUUAUACUGGAGUUACAAGUUCCAACAUGCAUCAAUAGACCAGGAUCACUGCAACUUGCAAGUCUAUUUAGAAAUGACCUGUUAAAAGUUAACUUACUCUCAGCUUAUCUGAGUCUUCAGCACAUUUAUUGUGCUCAUGAUACGAAGACGCUAGUGCAACAUACCCCUUUCAU